GCCGGGGUAAUAUAAGAAGUAUGGCCGUUUUUCGUGCGGCAUGUGGCUUUUAAGUAGCCUCCCGGUU
rnacentral:tRNA from 1 species